CUUUUUGAACCACACUCUUUUUAUUGCUGAUACGUUUUUUAAUGAUCACGGAAAUCCUAGCACAUUGUCCUAAUGAUUCCAGUGUCUUAAAUACCCACAGUCUUCUAUUGUCCGCCGUCACCCACACAUCCCCUUUCCUGACCACACUUAUUUUGGGGAUAUCAUCAAUUCGAUAUCGCUUGAGCAGUAUGCCGUCAACCGUGUCUCCAAUAGAGUUUUCUGUAUGCUCGGAUGCUUCACUGAAACAAUUGGAGAUUGAGGACUGACUAUAAUAGAUGUCGGAAGGAGCUAUUCGUAAUUCAGCCAUGUUCUAUGAGUUGGAGAGAGAGGAGGAUUGGAAGAGGAAGUACCUGGAGAUGUUUGACAACCAUGGACAGAUGAAAGAGAAACUGGAGUUUACCUGUGAGUCUGGGUACUCAGGCCCUGAGCCUCUCUUCCGCAGGGCAGCUCUCAGCUGGUCCACCUCCUGCUCUGUGGCCCUGAGAAAAUAUAAAAAGUAUUAAUAUGAUAGACAACAAAUUCACACUACAAGACAUGCAGUAAUAAAGUUUGAUCACUCCUCCAUGGCAUCACAAUAAACUUUCAUUAUUUGUUCAUUCUAAAUUGGAUUUUAAAUGAAAUGCCUACGACUAAAAAUAUAAAGAGACACUACGGCGCAUCUUGCCCCAAAAAAAAGACUUGAAAAAAUUCUCGGAUCGGGUUCUGUAUUUUUGUACUACUAUUAUAUGUAUACACUUUCAGAAAAUUAAAAAUUGCUCUGUGAAAU
rnacentral:sRNA from 1 species